rnacentral:misc_RNA from 1 species
GUGAAUCAUCGAAUUUUUGAACGCAAAUUGCACUCUCUGGUAUUACGGAGAGUAUGCCUGUUUGAGGGUCAGUUUAAACGAAAAUCGGUGUGGUUGCUGACUUUCGUGGUGAUGUACCGGAUUUGAGUCGUGUUGUCUUGGGUUAAGUGACCUAAAAUUUUGGCUGAUUUUUUCGAAUGUAUUUAAAUGACUUUACGUUCGUUUGCGAUACAGUUUUCUAGGGGUGGUCAUCAUCAUGUUUCGCGCCUAU